rnacentral:rRNA from 1 species
GGGGAAUAUUGGACAAUGGGCGAAAGCCUGAUCCAGCCAUGCCGCGUGAGUGAUGAAGGCCUUAGGGUUGUAAAGCUCUUUCACCCACGACGAUGAUGACGGUAGUGGGAGAAGAAGCCCCGGCUAACUUCGUGCCAGCAGCCGCGGUAAUACGAAGGGGGCUAGCGUUGUUCGGAAUUACUGGGCGUAAAGCGCACGCAGGCGGUGGUCAUAGUCAGAAGUGAAAGCCCUGGGCUCAACCCGGGAAUUGCUUUUGAUACUGGACCGCUAGAAUCACGGAGAGGGUAGUGGAAUUCCGAGUGUAGAGGUGAAAUUCGUAGAUAUUCGGAAGAACACCAGUGGCGAAGGCGACUACCUGGCCGUCGAUUGACGCUCAUGUGCGAAAGCGUGGGGAGCAAAC